rnacentral:lncRNA from 10 species
CGCCAUCCGCCAGCUGCCUGGCUUAUCCACAACCAGGGAAGCAGCGGGGCAUCCUCAAGCUGCCCUGUGUGGGGUGCUGUCUGUGAAACAGCAGCAGCAAACCCAGAAGCCGAGGUUAGACACUCAGCAUGCGAGGAAAGCACGCAGAGGCGGAGGCCGCGGCGCUCAGAAACUGCCGUAUUUAGAGAUCACGCGGAGCCAUAGGACAGUGCAGCCAUGAGCACCACUGCAUCGUCCUUGGCGACGAGCCAGGCCCGGGGGUCCUCCUGGGCUGCAUCUCCUGCCGGGCACCAGCUUCCUCCGCCCCUUCGGCACUCGCCAGCCAAGCUGCAAGGGGCACACUGAGGAGCAGACAGGCAGCGCUUCCAUGUCGGCGCCAUGCCCAGCACCCUGACGGAACACGUGACCGAGGACACAGGUGCAGGGGGAGGCAGGGGACUAAGACCCUGAGCAAGUCAUGAGCAGGCAGCACCCUAAGACGCUGUCCCAGGACAGCCAGGAGUACCCACGUAUCAAGGGCGGGAGCAGGUGGAGGUGCCUGGAUCAUGGGGUGGCUCCCCCAUGCUGUUCUUGCAAUACUGCGUGAGUCUCAUGAGAUCUGAUGGUUUCAUCAACGUCUGGUACUUCCCCUGCUUGCACUCACUCCGUCCCGCCGCCCUGGGACCUGCUUCUCCUUUGCCUUCCACCAUGACUAAGUUUCCUGA